rnacentral:rRNA from 1 species
AUUGAACGCUGGCGGCAGGCCUAACACAUGCAAGUCGAACGAGUGGCGGACGGGUGAGUAAUGUCUGGGAAACUGCCCGAUGGAGGGGGAUAACUACUGGAAACGGUAGCUAAUACCGCAUACCAUCGGAUGUGCCCAGAUGGGAUUAGCUUGUAGGUGAGGUAACGGCUCACCUAGGCGACGAUCCCUAGCUGGUCUGAGAGGAUGACCAGCCAAACGGGAACUGAGAAACGGUCGAGACGACUAAGGGAGGCAGAAGUGGGGAAUAGGGCACAAGGGGCGCAAGCCUGAUGCAGCAAUGGCGCGUGUAUGAAGAAGGCCGUCGGGUUGGAAAGUACUGUCAGCGGGGAGGCGUGACCCGCAGAAGAAGCACCGGCUAACUCCGGGCCAGCAGCCGCGGUAAUAC